rnacentral:misc_RNA from 1 species
GUUGAAAUGAGGCAAGAUGGCCCAAAUUUCAGUCUUAGCUGUUUUAAGUCUGAAUCUCGAGUUCAAGGGGUUCGUCCAUUCACUAUAUGUCAAUUUCAUGGAUAAGGGGGAAGAUUUCCUUGUAAACGAAUCAUGAUAGCACUCCGUGGGGUCUUUGUUCACUCUUCUUACUUUCCCAACUUCUAGAAGAAAAAAUAUGAAAAGAAAUGUGAACAAAAACGAUCUUUCCAAAGU